rnacentral:rRNA from 1 species
CCCUUAGAUGUUCUGGGCCGCACGCGCGCUACACUGACGAAGUCAGCGAGCAUGUCCUACGCCGGCAGGUGCGGGGAAUCUUGUGAAACUUUGUCGUGCUGGGGAUUGAUUUUUGAAAUUCUUGAUCAUGAACGAGGAAUUCCUAGUAAGCGCAAGUCAGCAGCUUGCGUUGAUUACGUCCCUGCCCUUUGUACACACCGCCCGUCGCUACUACCGAUUGAAUGUGCCAGUGAAAAGUUAGGAUUGGGCGUGGGAGACGGCAACGUAUUCCACAUCCGAGAAAAUCUUUAAACUUUCCCAUUUAGAGGAAGGAGAAGUCGUAACA